rnacentral:rRNA from 1 species
AUUGAACGCUGGCGGCAGGCCUAACACAUGCAAGUCGAACGAGUGGCGGACGGGUGAGUAAUGUCUGGGAAACUGCCUGAUGGGGGGGGAUAACUACUGGAAACGGUAGCUAAUACCGCAUACCAUCAGAUGUGCCCAGAUGGGAUUGGCUAGUUGGUGGGGUAACGGCUCACCAAGGCGACGAACCCUAGCUGGUCUGAGAGGAUGACCAGCCAGCCUGGAACGGAGACACGGUCCAGAGUCAUACGGGAGGCAGCAGGGGGGAAUAUUGCACAAUGGGCGCGAGACGGAUGCAGCCAUGCCGAGUGUAUGAAGAGGGCCGUCGGGUUGUAAAGUACUUUCAGCGGGGAGGCGUUACCCUCAGAAGAAGCACCGGCUAACUCCGUGCCAGCAGCCGCGGUAAUAC